GCCUGUUCAUUGGAUGAUCGAAUCUCGCGUUUCGUCAUCUCGCCUUCGGUUCCCUGUGUUGCAUACCUUCGAGACGGUAUCCUGUCGGCUAGAAUCGCCCCGUUUCGCCCGACGUCGCGAGCAACAUCGCGACCGAGGGCGAACCGAAAAGCACUCAUCGCGUUCCACCCCGUUCGCGUGACGCGCUGCGGGACACGGCCCGCGAUGACGUGCUCGAAUUCUCGGAUGCGGAACACAAUGCGGGCACGAGGACGUCGAUCCUCCGUUUGCCCCCGAACAAGCGUUCUACGCUCUGUGCGAACGACGUUCUUCCUCGU
rnacentral:misc_RNA from 1 species